rnacentral:rRNA from 1 species
AGCGAACGCUGGCGGCAGGCCUAACACACGCAAGUCGAACGAACCUUUCGGGGUUAGUGGCGGACGGGUGAGUAACACGUGGGAACGUGCCUUUAGGUUCGGAAUAACUCAGGGAAACUUGUGCUAAUACCGAAUGUGCCCUUCGGGGGAAAGAUUAAUCGACUUUAGAGGGGCCCGCGUCUGAUUAGCUAGUUGGUUGAGGUAAUGGCUCACCAAGGCGACGAUCAGUAGCUGGUCUGAGAGGAUGAUCAGCCACAUUGGGACUGAGACACGGCCCAAACUCCUACGGGAGGCAGCAGUGGGGAAUCUUGCGCAAUGGGCGGAAGCCUGACGCAGCCAUGCCGCGUGAAUGAUGAAGGUCUUAGGAUUGUAAAAUUCUUUCACCGGGGAAGAUAAUGACGGUACCCGGAGAAGAAGCCCCGGCUAACUUCGUG